rnacentral:rRNA from 1 species
GAUAAACGCUGGCGGCGUGCCUAAUGCAUGCAAGUCGCACGGAGUGUUCCUUCGGGGACAUUGAGUGGCGAACGGGUGAGGAACGCGUGGACAACCUACCCCGGCGUGGGGGAUACCCGCCAGAAAUGGCGGCUAAUACCGCGUACGGUCCAGGGGCGCGGGCUACCUGGAAGAAAGCAGUGAUGCGCGCUGGGAGGGGUCUGCGGCCGAUUAGCUAGUUGGCGGGGUAACGGCUCACCAAGGCGAUGAUCGGUAGCUGGUCUGAGAGGAUGAUCAG